rnacentral:rRNA from 1 species
AACGUACCUUUUGGUUCGGAACAACACAGGGAAACUUGUGCUAAUACCGGAUAAGCCCUUACGGGGAAAGAUUUAUCGCCGAAAGAUCGGCCCGCGUCUGAUUAGCUAGUUGGUGAGGUAAUGGCUCACCAAGGCGACGAUCAGUAGCUGGUCUGAGAGGAUGAUCAGCCACAUUGGGACUGAGACACGGCCCAAACUCCUACGGGAGGCAGCAGUGGGGAAUAUUGGACAAUGGGCGCAAGCCUGAUCCAGCCAUGCCGCGUGAGUGAUGAAGGCCCUAGGGUUGUAAAGCUCUUUUGUGCGGGAAGAUAAUGACGGUACCGCAAGAAUAAGCCCCGGCUAACUUCGUGCCAGCAGCCGCGGUAAUACGAAGGGGGCUAGCGUUGCUCGGAAUCACUGGGCGUAAAGGGUGCGUAGGCGGGUCUUUAAGUCAGGGGUGAAAUCCUGGAGCUCAACUCCAGAACUGCCUUUGAUACUGAAGAUCUUGAGUUCGGGAGAGGUGAGUGGAACUGCGAGUG